AAGAAAUCACAGUUGUUGUCACCAUGCAUACAUUCGAUUCAUUCAAACUGAAUUCGUGAGCGCAUGGGGCAGGCAGGGAGUAAAAAACAGAGCACAAUUAAACACGACAGUCUCGGGACCAACUCGCCCGCGUCAAUCCAACAGCCAUCCAUAGUUCGUUCGAGCAGGGUGUACAAGAUCGGUGAUUGUGUACGGCUCCAUGGUGCCGAUUGUCGUUUUGUAUAUAUCAAUCAUCCGUAACUGCGGGAGAUUCUGGAAAUCGUUCUUCUUGACGAUCAACAUUGUGCCGAAUCUUAUAGUGAGUCGGACGACGUAGGGCAGAGGCCCCACUGCACAGAUCUUGGACGCUAUGUUGUUGCUGAUUCAGUGAUGUAAUUGGAUCUGUGUGUGGCCGGUUCGACGAUGGCCGGAACGUUAUCUGAACUGCGGCUACAGCAAAUUCGGAUUUGGCGAACUGUUGGACAUUGCGUCUGUGCGGAUCAGGCAGCAUAUGGGGAAAACAGCAAAAAACGUUUUGUGGUGGAU